rnacentral:rRNA from 1 species
UACGAAGGGGGCUAGCGUUGUUCGGAAUUACUGGGCGUAAAGCGCACGUAGGCGGAUUGUUAAGUCGAGGGUGAAAUCCCAGGGCUCAACCCUGGAACUGCCUUCGAUACUGGCAUUCUUGAGUCCGAGAGAGGUGAGUGGAAUUCCGAGUGUAGAGGUGAAAUUCGUAGAUAUGGGGAGGAACACCGGUGGCGAAGGCGGCCAUCUGGACGGAUACUGACGCUGAGACGCGAAAGCGUGGGUAGCAAACAGG